rnacentral:lncRNA from 1 species
GCUAAACAUCAUUUUAUUUUAUAUAACUAACAGAGUUCACCAUUCAUCAAUCAUUGACCCUACGUAUUUUUAUGACCUGAUUUUGCUAGCGGAAUCCUUAUCUAAAAGACAAGACUAGAUACCAUUUUAAUGCCAAUAGAAAAAAGCAAAGUACGAAUUAAAACAGUAUAUAUAUUUUCCAGUGUACCAAGAUGUUACACCAUAAGCCAAAUGAAGAAUACAAAUUCGUGCAUAAUUUUGGCAGGGACUGUAUACUAUAUAUUCUGCUCUGCUCCUUAUUUCUCUGUAAUUAAAGUGUAAACCAUGCUUCUACAAUAAAGAAACAACAAAUCAAGAUAUAGAAAUGAUACAUGCAUGCAUAUAAUAGCUUACAUUACAUAUAUAGCUGUUUACGCCCAUAUAAAUGUGAAAUUAAGGAUAUAUAUUAGGUAGCUAGUGGCCCCUUGCAAGCAUUUGAUCGUAAUUCUCUAUGGAUUGGAGCCUUUGAAUGAGAAGUUGCUGCCUGAAGUUCUUGAUGAAGGCAUCAGCACUAGCAUUGAUGUCUUCAUUAAUAGGCUUCUUUGUCUGACCAGUGGCCUCAGUCGUCUUCUUUGCCCCAUCAUCUGAACUUGGGUUUCUCUUCUCUAUCCACUUGCUGCUCUCUCCCUCUCUUUGCACUUCUGAUGAAGGUUGUUGCAAGUGACUCUUUCUCAUUCUUUCUUCUCUAAUUGAAUUGAUGUCAAAGAAAGAAAGCUAAUUAGGCUUGUAUUGUAUUUGUAUUUGGUAUUUACAAUGGAAUGGUGCUUCAUGGCUCAUAUAUAUAGAGAGAUAGUUUAAGAUAUACACAGCAACAGCAAGGAAAGGGAAUAUGCUCUUUCCACUUUCUAAUUGAUACCUUUUUAAUUUCGAUCGCAUUAAUCUUGUGAUAUAUUUUCACCUUGGUUUUACCUUCAAACAAAA